UGGGGAAUAUUGGACAAUGGAGGAAACUCUGAUCCAGCAAUUCUGUGUGUGUGAAGAAGGUUUUAGGACUGUAAAACACUUUUAGUAGGGAAGAAAAAAAUGACGGUACCUACAGAAGAAGCAACGGCUAAAUACGUGCCAGCAGCCGCAGUAAUACGUAUGUUGCGAGCGUUAUCCGGAAUUAUUGGGCUUAAAGGGCAUCUAGGCGGUAAGACAAGUUGAAGGUGAAAACCUGUGGCUCAACCAUAGGCUUGCCUACAAAACUGUUGAACUAGAGUACUGGAAAGGUGGGUGGAACUACACGAGUAGAGGUGAAAUUCGUAGAUAUGUGUAGGAAUGCCGAUGAUGAAGAUAACUCACUGGACAGAAACUGACGCUGAAGUGCGAAAGCUAGGGGAGCAAACAGG
rnacentral:rRNA from 1 species